rnacentral:tRNA from 1 species
CGGGGCGUGGCGCAGUUUGGCUAGCGCGCACGGUUCGGGACCGUGAGGUCGGCGGUUCAAAUCCGCCCACCCCGA